rnacentral:rRNA from 1 species
UACGGAGGGUGCAAGCGUUGUUCGGAAUCAUUGGGCGUAAAGCGCGUGUAGGCGGUCCAGUAAGUCUGGUGUGAAAGCCCGGGGCUUAACCCCGGAAGUGCACUGGAUACUGUUGGACUAGAGGACGAGAGAGGGAAGUGGAAUUCCUGGUGUAGGGGUGAAAUCCGUAGAUAUCAGGAGGAACAUCGAUUGCGAAGGCGACUUCCUGGCUCGUAUCUGACGCUGAGACGCGAAAGCGUGGGGAGCAAACAGG